CCCUUAGACGUUCUGGGCCGCACGCGCGCUACACUGACCAGUGCAACAAGCAUCCGUCCUUGGCCGACAGGCCCGGGCAAUCUUUGAACGCUGGUCGUGAUGGGGAUAGACUUUUGCAAUUUUUGGUCUUAAACGAGGAAUUCCUAGUAAACGCAAGUCAUCAGCUUGCAUUGAUUACGUCCCUGCCCUUUGUACACACCGCCCGUCGCACCUACCGAUUGAAUGGUCCGGUGAAAUCUCCGGACUGGCGUGAGUCGGAGCAAUCUGACAAACACCGGAAAGUUGAUUAAACCUUACCAUUUAGAGGAAGGUGAAGUCGUAACA
rnacentral:rRNA from 1 species